UGCAAGCAUGGAAAUGUCUGAGAUAGACAAUGGAAAGCAAUACAUAAAAUCCAAGACAAGCGAUCAUAGAUGGCCCUGCUGGGAAAGCAGAUCCAGGGAAUUGGAUGGAGGUGGAAGGUCACUCCUAACACAUUAAAUACAACAGCCAAAGCAGAUCCUGAUGUCACCCUGAUACUGAGAUGGAAAAGUCACCUGCUUAAAAUCAUUGAAAAGGAAAAGAAGGAGCAGGAGGACAGCAAGUGCCGUGGGUGCUGUGCAGCCAGACCUGGAGCACCAGGGCCAUCCAUCUGCCUCAGGAGUCCUGCUUCCAUCCUUGGAGUGUGCAUCCUUCCAUCCUCCAGUGUGCACCGGCACUUCAGAUUGAGGUGCAGACCGGCUCCAGACGCUGCACAUGGAAGGCAAGGAGAGCUGGGAGCCGAGAGAGGAGCGGUUUCUCCUGGAACACCGGGAGCCCUUCCAUGGCAGCAGCUCAUUCCCAGCCCCUGCCCCACUCUCUGCUCCCAAAGGUCACCGGGAACUCGCCCAAGGCCCGGGGGGCUCGGCAGGGCUUUCCCACCUGGGCCGAGUGCCACAGGAGGGGCCCCUGCAGGAUUUCUGUCUCGGUCGGGUUCCAGCAGCUCAGACUGGCUCCUGCAUCCAGCAGGGAUUGGGUGGGGAUUUGGUUGGGGCUUUUUGUUUGCUGGUUUGGCUUUUAGUUAUUUAGAGAGUGCUUUGAGGGUCAGUUUUGCUGCUUCAUCAGCUUCACCCCCUGCCCAGCUGCCUGUUGUGUGCAUGGAAGGGUUCAGUCUGCAUUUCCCUUCUUCUGCACCCCUACUUUAUUAUUUUAGGCUCUUUAUUUUCAUUUUUCUCUUUUCCUUUUGACUGUUUUUUCCCCCUUUCAUUCCCCCUUUUUUAAUAUUUAUUUUCUGCUGUGGGUUUUUUUCCCCCCCCCCCUCUUCUCUCACGUGACCUCGGUGCUUUCCUGUCUUUUUGUAAAUUUUUCUUUUUUCUUUUUUUUUAAUUUCUUUUUUCUUCUCCUGCUCAGAAGCCCCUGGGGCAGCUGCACAGCCGGGGCCACUCCUGGCUGUCAGAGAAGCCGGGAGCUGACUGCUCUACGGGAUUUGUUUGCUCCCAGGUCUGCGGCUCGGGGCUCUCUCUCAUCGUGUUUUAUCAAAUAAAGUUCGUGUGGCAUUCCUGGCUUUGACGAUG
rnacentral:lncRNA from 1 species